UAGUUAAAUGAAUGGCUUACACAAAGGAGAUAGUGUUACAUUAAGCUUCAUUAAUAAUAAAACUGACUAUUAGCAUUUUGCAAGGAAGGCUAGAACUGAUUUCCUCAGUAAUGGGCAAAGUUAAAUAACUACAGCUGCUAAGUUUUAAGUCAAAUACUGCUCAUUCAUUGCUGCUGAUCUUGUCAAUAUUUGCUGUAAAGGUUUGAUCCCAACACAAAGCUGAUAAAAUGUUUUUUAAUUAUUAGACUAUAAAUACAGCUUCUCAGUAGGAUUGUACUUCUUUUCACACUGGCCUGUUUGAUUUCUGAUAAUGUGUACUGCUGACUCUGCUUACCUGUUUUUCAAUAGCUACAGUCAGUGUGACUUCUUGUCCAUAUGGUGAUAGGUAAGUCUCCUUGGAGAACGUCUUUGACAAACUACCCUAUUGAUCUCUGUAAUUCUCUGCUGCUUGCAGCAUUAAAGAGCGCCUUGAUUUCUUGUCUGAUGUGCUCACUGUGUAACAAUUAAGCAAAUGUAAUAUUUUCUUGUAUUACAUGAAAAUCAAUAGACCUCUUGCUCUCAUGGAGUUGAUCAUGGUGAAGGAUGAACUCAACAAUGGCUAAGGGCACGGUUCAAAUAUUAAAAUAUCAUUUAUUGGAUCUAUUCAGUCUUGUGGUGAACCUUUUAGUUUGAAAAAUGGUCCUUAUUGAACAGUGAUGGUUUAAGGUUUUUUUUCAUUAAAGUUGGAUAUUAUAUCGAAGCAUUGUGGCCUGAAAAGGAUAAAGUAUAAAUGCUGGAAGUCAGGAGACAGAUUCUAUUUUUAGUAUCAGUGCUGUCUUACUUUUUGACCUCAGGCUAAUAACUCUACCCCUUUGUGUCUUAGUUUUUUCCACCUGUAAUCUGAGGACAAUACAAGAAACCGUUCUACCUUAAAAUGUAACAUGAAUAUGCUUGUAAGUGAAUGUGAGUUUUACUUUUAAAACCGUAAAAGCUGUUUUUGUAAUUCUCAUUCUUCUGUUUCAUAUAUAUUUAUAUUUAAAAUACUUCAUUAAUAAAAGGAUUUUAAAAAUAGAGGAGGAAAGCAGGACACACUGAAGGCCUUUUGCGUGAGUGUCUGUGUACCAGUUCUGAGUGGACCCUGCCCUUCAGGAUAUCAGGAGUUUUCUUAGUUGAGGAAACAGCCAAAGACAGCUUUCCUGCUGACACUUCUUUAAUGGGAUUUUUGUCUUUGGCAAAACUAUUUUUUAACGAUGUGUUUUUAGUAUAGAAUUUGCCUCUCUUCUAUGGUUUUUUCUAUACAAAUCAAUUACCAAAUAUUGGAAGAAAUUUCUAGUCAAAAUUCUUGGUUCCGGUGUAAGUUGUGAAGCACCAUAAAGAUGCAGUAACAGAGUGGGGAGCAUGAAAGAGGCUGCUGAUGUAAAAAUCCCUAGUGUCUCAGUGCUAAGGUCUUAACAUACCAAGUUGUACAAAGAGUUGUAAUUUCUUUCAUCGCACUACUUAGUUACUAAUAGUUUUCUAAUUGUUGAUUUCAGUAAAAAUUGAAACAUUUUCAAUUAUUAAAAGCAUAUGUAUUUCUUUUAAAAUGUACAUAUUUUGUGUCAUUUAUAUUUAUUCAAAACUAUAAGCAGACAACAUCUAUAAUUCUUCAUGAAAUAUCUCAACUCUAUUAAAGAAUGAAUGAUGUUUCAAUGAGUGUGGUGACAUGAAGACAAGGAUCUUGGUUUCAUUUCAUUUAAAAGCUAUUGCAGAUAACAGAAACCUUAUCCUAAACCUAGUGGAUUGGGUAUCUACUUUUUUUCAGCCCUUACCAUUCAGACAGUAAUGGCGUUUGAGGGCAUCUUAACCUAAACAAGUACUUAGCAUUACAUCUCACCUGGGUCAACAGUCUAGGGUAUCAGAGUUAAACUGUGUUACUGUAAAUUAAUGGAAAAUGUAACUGCACUUUGCUGAAAGAUCAAUGU
rnacentral:lncRNA from 1 species